GAGUUUGAUCCUGGCUCAGAGUGAACGCUGGCGGCGUGCCUAAUACAUGCAAGUCGAACGAUGAAGCUUCUAGCUUGCUAGAAUGCUGAUUAGUGGCGCACGGGUGAGUAACGCAUAGGUUAUGUGCCUCUUAGUUUGGGAUAGCCAUUGGAAACGAUGAUUAAUACCAGAUACUCCCUACGGGGGAAAGAUUUAUCGCUAAGAGAUCAGCCUAUGUCCUAUCAGCUUGUUGGUAAGGUAAUGGCUUACCAAGGCUAUGACGGGUAUCCGGCCUGAGAGGGUGAACGGACACACUGGAACUGAGACACGGUCCAGACUCCUACGGGAGGCAGCAGUAGGGAAUAUUGCUCAAUGGGGGAAACCCUGAAGCAGCAACGCCGCGUGGAGGAUGAAGGUUUUAGGAUUGUAAACUCCUUUUGUUAGAGAAGAUAAUGACGGUAUCUAACGAAUAAGCACCGGCUAACUCCGUGCCAGCAGCCGCGGUAAUACGGAGGGUGCAAGCGUUACUCGGAAUCACUGGGCGUAAAGAGCGCGUAGGCGGGAUAGUCAGUCAGGUGUGAAAUCCUAUGGCUUAACCAUAGAACUGCAUUUGAAACUACUAUUCUAGAGUGUGGGAGAGGUAGGUGGAAUUCUUGGUGUAGGGGUAAAAUCCGUAGAGAUCAAGAGGAAUACUCAUUGCGAAGGCGACCUGCUGGAACAUUACUGACGCUGAUUGCGCGAAAGCGUGGGGAGCAAACAGGAUUAGAUACCCUGGUAGUCCACGCCCUAAACGAUGGAUGCUAGUUGUUGGAGGGCCUAGUCUCUCCAGUAAUGCAGCUAACGCAUUAAGCAUCCCGCCUGGGGAGUACGGUCGCAAGAUUAAAACUCAAAGGAAUAGACGGGGACCCGCACAAGCGGUGGAGCAUGUGGUUUAAUUCGAAGAUACACGAAGAACCUUACCUAGGCUUGACAUUGAGAGAAUCCGCUAGAAAUAGUGGAGUGUCUAGCUUGCUAGACCUUGAAAACAGGUGCUGCACGGCUGUCGUCAGCUCGUGUCGUGAGAUGUUGGGUUAAGUCCCGCAACGAGCGCAACCCCCUUUCUUAGUUGCUAACAGGUCAUGCUGAGAACUCUAAGGAUACUGCCUCCGUAAGGAGGAGGAAGGUGGGGACGACGUCAAGUCAUCAUGGCCCUUACGCCUAGGGCUACACACGUGCUACAAUGGGGUGCACAAAGAGAAGCAAUACUGCGAAGUGGAGCCAAUCUUCAAAACACCUCUCAGUUCGGAUUGUAGGCUGCAACUCGCCUGCAUGAAGCUGGAAUCGCUAGUAAUCGCAAAUCAGCCAUGUUGCGGUGAAUACGUUCCCGGGUCUUGUACUCACCGCCCGUCACACCAUGGGAGUUGUGUUUGCCUUAAGUCAGGAUGCUAAAUUGGCUACUGCCCACGGCACACACAGCGACUGGGGUGAAGUCGUAACAAGGUAACCGUAGGUGAACCUGCGGUUGGAUCACC
rnacentral:rRNA from 1 species